GUGCUCACUUUGGAAGCACAUAUACUAAAAUCUGAAUGAUACAGAGAAGAUUAGCAUCAUCUCUGUGUAAGGAUGACACACAAAUGCAUCAUGUCUUCCACAUUUUU